GGGCGCGUAGUUCAGUGGUAGAACGCUUUCCUGAUAAGAAAGAGGUCCAUAGUUCGAUUCUAUGUGCGCCCACCA
rnacentral:tRNA from 1 species